rnacentral:sRNA from 1 species
CUUUUUUAUUUCCAAACUUUUUUCCAGUCUGAAAUACAUUCAUUAAGCAUUGCAGCUUUAUCAGCAGCAAGUUCUUGCUUAUUCUUUUUGCGUGAAGUCAUAUAAAGACUUCCAUCUGGACGUUGCCAAGUUUCAAAGACUACUACUCCACGAUUUUCUCGUUUGAUUAAAUCAUGGUAGAUUUGUCCAACAGUCGUUGGCAACACUCGAACUUUGCGUCCAUUUAUAAUUGUUGUUUCCAUUAUUUGCCUUUCUAUGUAUGCGUUUUAAUCCUCCGAGUGCUAUAAUUACUGUGAGCAGAUAUUUGCGGUAUUUGC